ACCAGUCACUACCCGGUCCCCUCAUGGGGCGGACACAACACCAUGGUUGAAAAAAUGGCUCCUCUGCCGGGAAAUAGCACAUGACAAAAUGAGUGUUGGAUUAGAAAAAGAAUAAAUAAUUGUUUUUUUUAUACCACUCCAGGUGGCGUUUUACAUAUAAACAUUACUCAAUAGACUACGCAGGAGACUUUACAAUUAAUAACAAAUCUCAAGACAGACAGUGUAUAUUUAAAUUUUACCUCAUUGGAAAUGAGCUGGUCUCCGGCCUAAUGGGCGUUCCUGAUACUCAUUACGUGAUGUAGACAAAGAAGCCACAACUAUUAGGAAAGAAUAUCCGGACUCAAUCGUGAAAGGGCAACAGAACUUACCAAUUAUUCAUAGAUAGCCAAAAAUUGUGUCACUCAUAGAGCUUCCUGGCAGCUGGGUUUUCCGGGCAAGAAAUUCUGGAUAUAAAAUUAUGCAUAUGAAAUUAAUUAAAAUAUAGUGUAAAUUUUAUUUUUUUUAAUGUUUCCUCUGCAAUAAUCUCAAAAAUAUAUGUUAGCAAUAUGUAGUAAUUCUUGUAGGCUUUAUGUUUAUUAAUAUUGUAUUAUUACUGAUAAUGUUUAUCUUAGUAAUAGAGAAAGCAACCCGUUUGUUGUAAAGAACAUAGGCAUGUAAGAUAAUAAUAUAACAUUUUGAGGAUUAAAAAUCAGAUUUAUUGAUUUUUGCCGGAUGUACAUAAUAUUGGCCUACAG